GGCCGCCUCUGCCCGCCCGUGGCCGCGAAUGGUGGGGAGGAGUCCCGCGGCCUCCCUGGCCCUCAGCCCCGGGCCCCGCUGAGCUGCUCCCUCAAAUCAGAUAGCAAAGCCAGGCUUCGGCGGGCGGAAGGCACACAAAGCCCACCUAGAGGGGUGCCUGGGCCAGGCCGUGCAGCCCAGCGGUGGGAGGGAUGAGCUGUUGUCCACACAACACAGAACACAUUUCCAAAGGGAAAAAAAAAAAAAAAAAAGGAAAACUGGGAGGCUGGCUCCCUCCCUGCGCCCUGCCCCACCAGCAGCCAUGAUGGGAGCACUGCUGGAGCCCCUUCUGCCCUCACAUGGAAGAGACGGUGGCGUUGGUUAAAGCAGACAGCGAUACAGUGCUCCUCUGCUGCUCCUGGGAUCGUGGGACGCCUCCUGGAGCGGGAUGCGAUGGCCGGAGUGGUGCUGAGCUGUCCUGGGGUUUGCAGGGUUCUCAGGGCUGUGCUGCAAUGUUUCAGUCGCUUGCAUCAUCAUGAGUUAAAUCAGCAUGCAAAGCCAUUAAAGAAUUGGCUGAUUGAAACAGCACCGGCCGUGAACUUGCCUGUAUUUUAAGCUGAUGUUUAAAUAGAUCUACGGAUCUUAACGUCUGCAUUUUAAGGCUCAAUUUUGGUCUGUUUAACCCCGAAGCAAACUAGCUCUGUAACGCAGCGCAGGCUUCGAAACAAUUCAGCCAGACCAUAAUACCGUGGGAGCUCAGACAGCUUUGUCUGCACUCGCACCUCUCUGCACGUCUCCGCAGGACCGUGACUGCUGCUGUGCGCAAUCCAUCACUGCUUGGACGGUGCUGGAACACCCGGCUGCUCCUUAGCACACAGCAGGGCCCACACCAGCCAAAUCCCACGGGGUAAAGCAGAGCCAGCGCUCUGCAUGGGUCCUCGGCGCUUCUGGAAAUGGUUGUUGUAAGUCUGAACUGAAAAUUUCUGUACGUUUGUAGGGUUUCUAAAUGACUGUAAUGUUCAGUGUUGUUGAAAAGCAACCGAGGCGGUUGAGACCGGUUGCGCUCCCUGGAGUGGGUGGUUUAAUGGUUGAACCUCCUAUUUGAAAAGAGAAACGUUCUGGUACAGCGUGCUUAAAGAACACAGAGGUCAGAGCAGACUUCCAGCCUCGGGUUAGGCUGACCCUGGUUUGCUGCCUGAGCCUCUUCAGAGAAAGAAAGAGAUCUUUCAGGGGAAAGGAAACAGAUUUUUUCCUCCAAAUGGCCCGUGGUCACUCUAUGCACAUUCUUAAAGCAGUGGGGUUUGUUCUUACCCGCAGCGUCCCUCUCCUGUGUUGAUGAGUCAAAAACUCUGACGGUAAUUAUUUUAGUGCCUGUUAUCAAUAAGAAGUUGUUGAAUUUCUUUGGCAAAGUGCUGUGACUAAAGCAAAUUAGAUCGAGAGGCGAAGUGAAAUAACAAAUAUGCAGUUGCUCUGCCAAACAAUGACUGGGACUGUUUACAACAUUUUGUUGCAGGCUGGUUUGUACACAGAAUCCUUUCUGUUGAAGGUCUGCAUGUCACAAUCUGCUGCUUGUGCAAGCAUACUAGAUUAGCAGAUUAUAAAGGACAAAAGGGACCUAGGUUUGUCUGGUUUGACUUCCUGUAUGAUGCAGGUCAUAAGAUAUUUGGGAAUGUGUUGCUUUUUUCUCUUGCAAGAGAAUUUAACAAUAGCAUACCUGUAUCUUAGAGAAAAGACCAUGGUUGUAAUUUUUAAAAUGAUCUCUGAGAAUAAAGUAAGAAUUGGCAGACUGUUUCCAUGAAAAUCUACCUGGUAGAUGGAAUGAAGGUACCUUUUAAACUGAGCUUUGUCUGGCUUCUGCUUUCAGUUGCUGCUGCACCUCGGUCUGCUCGAGCGAAUGCUCCAUUCCAGGUCCUUUUCCCAUGGAGCUGUGUGCAGGCUGAUAUCCGCAGAUUCAAUGCUCCCAUUGCAGAUCUGCAGAGCUCCCCCUCGGACUCCAGACUCACCAACCCUAUAAAUAUUGCUUCUCUGUCUCCAGUUUUUCACCAUUUGGAUCAGGGCGGAGCAUUCAGCAGCGAUCCCACCCGUGCCAGCAGUGUGCUGAGGUUUCUGUUACGCACCCGUGGAUCACUCCCGGUGCUCAGCUGGUUUUCCUGCUCUGCCUAAAAUGCCAUCCAACUUGCUCCUCCCGUGGGACUGCAUCUGUCUCUGAACAGCCUGACGCUUGGCUCUUAAGGGCAGUCCUUAGGCAGCAUCGCUGCUUGCAGUGGCCUUAUUUACACAUUCUGCUGUUGAUCUUCCUUGUCACCCACAGACCUGAAUGGUAAAUAUUUUAUGUUUUCUUCCAGCUCAUUGACAAAGACCAUUUCUGUCUCUGCUGUAGGAGUGUCCUGGUUCCAGGUGUGUGCCUCAGUUUUGUCAACAUUGAGUCAGGAGAUCUGAUCUACGCCAUCUCCCACCACACCCAUCCGCGGGAGGAAAGCCCAGUGCCGGAGCUGGCGGGGAGCCAUGGGGCACAUUGGAACGUGUGCCUGCUCUGUAUCAGACAGAGCCAUUAAAUAGCGUGGGGCCCAAACCAGGUUGUUACAGCACCCAUAAAAGAAAGAUAACAGCUCUAAGACGCAGCAGUGACAACUGCACUUUGAGAUAUUCCUAUUGGAUAGAUUUUAUUCCAUGUCGUCUUGAUUUUAUAUUCUCAUAAUCAUGUAAAUGCUUCACAAGGGUUGAAGUACAGCUCUCCUAGAUGUUCUCUACCAGUGAUACUCACAUUUAUCAGCUAAUUUCAGUUUCUCUCUCAGCAGCUGAACUCACAAAACUGCUUCUCCUGUGGAUUUGCAGACAAAUCCCUACAGAGUCCUUCCAGUUCUUUCCCUGUUUGGCUGGGCAAGGGGACAGCACUGCCCCUGGGGGGAGCUGAGACUACCUGCCUUUCCGCCAGGCUCAGUGCUGCCUCUGCUGCAUACUCUGCUCAGCUGUUCCUUCCAGACCUAAACAUGUUUGGGAUUUCUUGCCCGCUGUCAAAUUUGACUGAGGUUGGAGGAAGGAGGAGAAAAAUGACAGAGAACUUUUAGGAAACCAGGUUAAAAAUAUCAAAGGACUAUUGAGCUGCAAUAUGCAUUGGGCAUUUGCCUGUUCAUGUUUUUUUGGGCUUGUUUGGGUUUUUUUUGGUGGUUUUGUUGGUUUGUUUGUUGUUGUUGUUUUUUUUUCCUGUUUUUAACCUUUUCCUAAGUAUGGCACGUCAUACAGGUAAGGAAUUUCUCAGCCAAAAUAUCCAUCUCCUGGCAGAUUUUACCUGUGUUCCAGCAUGCUGUGCAGAUGCAUGGGCUGUAUGCACAUGGGCUGUGUGUGCUGCAUAAUGAUGGGGAACCACCGUUCUGUUGGGUGGUUGUGCCUGAGUACAAAGAGAGAUACCUUCAUAUGUAACAGGGGAACAAACAUUUCUUUUGUUUAAGAUCCAUACAAGUUUUGAUGGACAUGCUGGGCAUUUGCCAGGGCUGUCUUUUUUCUUUUCCUUUUAAACUACAUCUGUUCAUUUUAUUUCUGGUACUAUUAUGACAAAGCCACUUCUGUAAUAUAGGUAGCUUGUGCUUUCAGAGAUCUAAUCAUUCUUGAGCUUCGAAAGAAUAAAAAAGCUGUUUCAACA